rnacentral:rRNA from 1 species
GAUGAACGCUGGCGGCGUGCUUAACACAUGCAAGUCGAACGGAAAGGCCCAAGCUUGCUUGGGUACUCGAGUGGCGAACGGGGUGGGUAAAACGUGGGGGAUCUGCCCUGCACUUCGGGAUAGGCCGGGGAAAUUGGGUUUAAUACGGGUUAGGACCACUUCUUGGUUGUUGUGGUGGAAGGUUUUUUCGGUGUGGGAUGAGCUCGCGGCAUAUCAGCUUGUUGGUGGGGUAAUGGCCUACCAAGGCGUCGACGGGUAGCCGGCCUGAGAGGGUGUACGGCCACAUUGGGACUGAGAUACGGCCCAGACUCCUACGGGAGGCAGCAGUGGGGAAUAUUGCACAAUGGGCGCAAGCCUGAUGCAGCGACGCCGCGUGGGGGAUGACGGCCUUCGGGUUGUAAACUCCUUUCGCUAGGGACGAAGCGUUUUGUGACGGUACCUGGAGAAGAAGCACCGGCUAACUACGUG